UGGUUCUGGCAUNGAUGAAGAACGCAGCGAAAUGCGAUAAGUAAUGUGAAUUGCAGAAUUCAGUGAAUCAUCGAAUCUUUGAACGCACAUUGCGCCCCUUGGUAUUCCGAGGGGCAUGCCUGUUCGAGCGUCAUUACAACCCUCAAGCUUGGCUUGGUAUUGGGUUCCGCUGCUUACCUAGCGGGCCUUAAAUCCAGUGGCGGUGUCGUAGAGACCCUGAGCGUAGUAAAUAUCCUCGCUUUAGGGACUCGGUGAUUACUGGCCAUCAACCCCAAAUUCUAAGUUUGACCUCGGAUCAGGUAGGGACACCCGCUGA
rnacentral:misc_RNA from 1 species